rnacentral:rRNA from 1 species
AUUGAACGCUGGCGGCAGGCCUAAUACAUGCAAGUCGAGCGGAGCGGCGGACGGGUGAGUAAUGCCUACGAAUCUGCCCGGCCGAGGGGGCUAGCGUCAGGACACGAGAGCUAAUAUCGUACCAUAUAAGAUGAGCCUUGGUCGGAUUAGCUAGUUGGUGGGGUAAAGGCCUACCAAGGCGACGAUCCGUAACUGGCCUGAGAGGGUGAUCGGUCACACUGGAACUGAGACACGGUCCAGACUCCUACGGGAGGCAGCAGUAGGGAAUAUUGGACAAUGGGCGAAAGCCUGACCCAGCCAUGCCGCGUGUGUGAAGAAGGUCUUCGGAUUGUAAAGCUCUUUAAUUUGGGAGGCGUUACCUACAGAAAAAGCACCGGCUAACUUCGUGCCAGCAGCCGCGGUAAUUC